rnacentral:sRNA from 1 species
AAAAGAAGACAUAGUACAGAGUAAUAGGA